GUGGGCAGUCUAGAAAUAUUAUUGUAUAUAUUGAUCCAUUUGUUGAAUGAUUUAUAGUAUCAUUUUUUGUAUCAUUAAUAUCCAACUUUUUUCUUGAAUAUAGGAUAGGGCAAUAUCUCUCAUUAUUGAGCAUGUUGUGAGCAAUCAUUAUCUAUAGAGACUAGUUGCAUGGAAGCCCUGGUGUUCGUCAAACUUAUGGGACCAAAGCAUUAUGAUCAAGUG
rnacentral:lncRNA from 1 species